GGUCAAAGGGGCCAGGCAGAGAAGAGAGGAUCUCUCAGUGAAAGGAGGGGUUUGAGCAGUGCCCUGUUCAGAGCCAGCAGAGCUCAAGCAUCUACCACACGCCCUCCAAUGCUCCCAUUGCAGGAGGAGUUUGUUUACGAGGACAUGGAGGCCCUCUGCAGUGUCCUGCGCACUCUGGCCACUGACAGUAACAAGUACCGUGCCAAGGCUGAUCGUCGGCGCCAGCGCUCUACUUUCCGCGCCGUGCUGCACUCCGUGGAGGGCGGUGAAUGCAAAGAAGAGAUAGUGCGCUUCGGCUUUGAGGUGCUCUACAUGGACAGCUGGGCUCGGCACCGGAUCUACGCUGCCUUCAAGGAAGUGCUGGGUUCAGGCAUGCACCACCACCUCCAGGUGUGGGGACGGACAGGGAGGGGACAUCUGGUGUGGUUGCGUCAGUCUGGCCUGAGCUCACUGCCCUCUGCCCCCCAGAACAAUGAGCUACUCCGUGACAUCUUUGGCCUGGGCCCUGUGCUGUUGCUGGAUGCCACUGCCCUGAAGGCCUGCAAGGUUCCACGCUUCGAGAAGGUUUGCACCCUUGGGCACCUUUCUCUUCCCCCUAUUCC
rnacentral:sRNA from 1 species